rnacentral:rRNA from 1 species
UACGAAGGGGGCUAGCGUUGCUCGGAUUUACUGGGCGUAAAGCGCACGUAGGCGGCUCUUUAAGUCGGGGGUGAAAUCCUGGAGCUCAACUCCAGAACUGCCUUCGAUACUGAAGAGCUCGAGUCCGGGAGAGGUGAGUGGAACUGCGAGUGUAGAGGUGAAAUUCGUAGAUAUUCGCAAGAACACCAGUGGCGAAGGCGGCUCACUGGCCCGGUACUGACGCUGAGGUGCGAAAGCGUGGGGAGCAAACAGG